GACGAAGGGGGCUAGCGUUGUUCGGAAUUACUGGGCGUAAAGCGAGUGUAGGUGGUUGUCCAAGUUGGAUGUGAAAGCCUUGAGCUCAACUCAAGAAAUGCAUUCAGGACUGGGCGGCUAGAGGACCGGAGAGGAUAGUGGAAUUCCCAGUGUAGUGGUGAAAUACGUAGAGAUUGGGAAGAACACCAGUGGCGAAGGCGGCUAUCUGGACGGUUUCUGACACUAAGACGCGAAAGCCAGGGGAGCAAACGGG
rnacentral:rRNA from 1 species